GAGAGAGGCGUAGGUUAAAACCCUUUAGUCUGGACCACAGCACCGACGGGUCUACGCUCGGAGUUUUCUGUUUCACAGCACUUUAACGUAGGACGAGAAAUAAAUUUUAGCCACGGCCACCUCUUAGCGAAAGGUUCGGCAAAGGAGGUCUUAUCAACAGAGAUAUUUAAAAAGUAACAUUGUUCGAUAAUUCUCAUCGGUGACUUUGGGAGAAACUUUGAAUUGUGAAUCGUUGGAUGGCGUAGAAAGGAAUCGAGCCAGUGCAGAGCAGACACAGACCAAAAGCGGCUUGGGUGGAGCCUCGUCGUUGACGUCAUCAGACGUACAGACAAACGGCACAGAUGUAGAAACCAAUGCGCGUGGAGAGAGUCCAGAAUCGUGCGAUAACCGGUGGCCACGGAGUAGUUCGGAAUAGUAGUCGGUGGGGAAGUUGUAUCGGCACCUAGUGGCACGACCACAGGAGGGUGGUGGAGAAGAGAGGAUUGGGGUUGCUGGGAGAAGAGAAAGAGGCAACGGAGGAUGCGGAGAUGGCGGAGGGAUGGUCGCAGCAGCAGCAGCAGCAGCAGCAGUAGUAGCAGCAGCAGUAGUAGCAGCAGCAGCAGCAUCCACGCUUGCCUACCGCCGAAGCCCGACCACCACAGAGCCACCCCUCCUUCUCCACCCCCUCGAACAAUCCCAACGGUGUCCGCCUCUCAUGUUGCAAGCCACGGCCAGCCGACAACCUCUACCACAGCAAUCCUAAAUGCAACUAACUUUGAGAGAGAGAGAGAGAGAGAGAGAGAGAGAGAGAGAGAGAGAGAGAGAGAUCUUCGAAAGUACCAAAAUAAUGUCCCUCUCUUUUGAAGGAUCUUUCGAAAAAAUUAAUAUAGACCUGUUACCAUUGAUCUUCCUUACGUGAUACCUUUGAGAUCUAUAUUCGUUUUGAUAUAAAAUUAAUUGAACAUAAUCAGGUACGAUAGUCCAGUAGAAUAGUUCUCCCAAAUAUUUUCUCAGUAUAUAAGAAGAAGGUUUGAAAAGAAGUCGAGAUAAGUAGGAACGUUAUCAGUCGAUCUGAAGAUUGAGGACCCUCGACGAAUCGGUGUUUGGUCGUGCUCGUCGAUUAGGCGCGUAUCCUAGCCGCGAAAUUCGCUUAGAUCA